UCCAUCCAGUGGCAACACUGGGGAAGACCUAGUGGCGAACGGGUGAGUAACACGUGAGGAACCUGCCCCGAAGACCGGGAUAACCCUCCGAAAGGAGAGCUAAUACCGGAUGUCCUUCCCGGACCGCAUGAUCCGGUGAGGAAAUGGAUUCCGCUUCGGGAGGGCCUCGCGGCCUAUCAGCUUGUUGGUGGGGUAACGGCCCACCAAGGCUUCGACGGGUAGCUGGUCUGAGAGGACGAUCAGCCACACUGGGACUGAGACACGGCCCAGACUCCUACGGGAGGCAGCAGUGGGGAAUAUUGGACAAUGGGGGCAACCCUGAUCCAGCGACGCCGCGUGUGUGAAGAAGGCCUGCGGG
rnacentral:rRNA from 1 species